GUUCGUCCGGAUCGUCCGCGAAUUUCACACUGUGCGGCGUGACCGGCACACCGUGCACUCAUCGGGCUCCGUUAAAACAGCGCACCUCAGUUUCGCAGAGUCCGCCGACACGUUCGCGUCCUUCCGCGGAGAUUCGACGUUGUCCUUGUUCCGUCGGGGUGCGUUUACUUUCGCGCGAGGGAGCACCGUAACGAUCUCGAGAAACGGUCGCCAAUGACUUGUCGAAUGCCGCAUUUCCGGAGCGGUUCUGCGAUGUGAUCGAUGGAUAGAUUACGUGGAGUCAGGCAUCUACGGCGGCAUUUGGUUACCUUUGUGCGAUUAGGAUAGGAUAAGCUGUUGUGCUGCAUCGAAAUCACGAAGUUUGUGCAUACAGUUGUGCGCGAGAACAAUAUAUAUCCGGCAUAGCAAAUAGACCAAAUGAACGACUCGAGACUACGUUCUUUAUUCCGCGCGAACGAAGCUGAUUGCGAUACAGCUUGGAGCAUCGAGGGAAUGCAUAAUAUCUGCUUCGGAUAAAUUCCAUGCUGAGAUUACACCGAGAUAAGAAGAGGGAGGAGGAAGAGGAAGAGAAGGACGAAUUUGAAAAGUAGCCUUCUUAACAAGUUGCACGUGCAUCAGCCAGCGACUUUGCAAGGGUGCUUCGGGAGCACCUUUGCAUCAACUUUUAGAUGACAUUAAACGACGUUCAGUUUAACGAACGACUUUGCUCUUUGCUCGCUUAAAUCAACAAAUGUCUAGCACUAUGCCGAUACAACGGAAUAUCGCACCUACGAGUAGAUCGCGGACGAAGCGUUUGCACGGCACGUAACUCUUCGAGGGAACUACGAUAUCGGCGUUUUCGACAUAUAUAUCACGUGGAGAAUGCCGAAGUAAGAUCGCAUCAUGAAUUUCGCCCUGUCGACGAUCGCCGUUUGGCUGGCCUCGGUGACACCUCGUUUAAGCUAUGCGCUUGACGAUGCGGACUAUUAUUCGUCCAUGGAGAGCGGACGUUUCGAGUACGCCAACGUUACAAACUGCACGAACGACGAAUGCAUCUCGGAUGAGGAUUAUCUCGAGAUGAUGGUGGAGCACAUAUUCCCGAAGCUGUCCGACUGGGUGUUGAUCGCGAUGCACAGCAUCGUCUUCGUGGUCGGUCUGAUCGGCAACGCGCUCGUCUGUAUGGCUGUCUAUCGGAAUCAUUCCAUGAGGACCGUGACGAAUUAUUUUAUCGUGAAUCUGGCAGUGGCCGAUCUGCUCGUCUUGCUCAUCUGCCUGCCACCGUCGGUACUUUGGGAUGUCACGGAGACCUGGUUCCUCGGGCUGAAGCUCUGCAAGGCUGUGCCUUAUCUUCAGACAGUAUCGGUGAGUGUGAGCGUUUUGACGCUAACUUUCAUAUCGAUCGACCGGUGGUACGCCAUAUGCUUCCCGCUGCGGUUCAAGUCAACGACGGGCCGAGCGAAAACGGCCAUCAUAAUCAUCUGGUUAAUAGCGCUUCUCUUUGACAUUCCGGAAUUGCUGGUGUUGCAUACGGUGCCGUCAAACAGUCGAGUGCAGACUGUUCUAUUCACACAAUGCGUUUGGUCCUGGAGUCAAGAGAGCCAAACUACCUUCACCAUCGUCAAGUUGAUCCUCCUCUAUAUCGGGCCACUACUCUUCAUGAGCGUAGCGUACUGGCAGAUUGUGCGCGUCCUUUGGAGAAGCGAUAUUCCCGGACACAAUCUGUCCACCAGGGUAUACCAUUCAAACGAGAUUCCAUUGUCUGGAGGUGGAAACCCGGAGGGUCAAUUGAGAUCCCGACGGAAAGCGGCGAAGAUGCUGGUCGCCGUGGUUCUCACUUUCGCGAUAUGUUUCUUUCCGGUCCAUUUACUGUCCAUUUUAAGGUCUACCAUGGCGCUACCGUCAAAUCAAUGGACAAUCGCUAUUAGUCUAAUCGCCCACUGGCUUUGUUAUUUCAACAGUGCGGUGAAUCCUGUCAUCUAUAAUUUUAUGAGCGAUAAGUUCCGGCGAGAGUUUCGUCGUAGUUUUCGAGAAUGCGGUUCCCCAAGCAAGCGCUACCCCGAGAAUGCGGUUAGACUACCGGACAAAAGCACGAAGGGGUGUCAUAUGAGCUUGCGAAAUCGACCGUUUUGACACGUGGCGAAACGAACGUCGCGGCUGACGAAAAUACAACUCGAAAAUACACCUGUACGUACGAGCGUCGUGGCCGAAACGACGUUCGUCGAGACGGGGACAGUCUCGGCAAUCGGCACUCGUUAAAUCGAUCGUACUCGUAUUUAGGGAAAAUUUCGGAAGGAAUUUAAACGUACCUUUUGGUGCUCCCGCAACAGCAGAAUUGGCGCCCAUAAACGUGGAUACGCGAGUGUCUUGGAUCCUCUUAAACAACGAUCACGGAUUAACACAAGAUCGACUCACA
rnacentral:misc_RNA from 1 species